GUGCCAGCCGCCGCGGUAAUACCGGCAGCCCGAGUGAUGGCCGAUCUUAUUGGGCCUAAAGCGUCCGUAGCUGGCCGACCAAGUCUCCCGGAAAAUCCACCCGCCCAACGGGUGGGCGUCCGGUAGAAACUGGCCGGCUUGGAACCGGAAGGCUCGAAGGGUACGGCCGGGGUAGGAGUGAAAUCCUGUAAUCCCGUCCGGACCACCGAUGGCGAAAGCACUUCGAGAAAACGGAUCCGACAGUGAGGGACGAAAGCUAAGAUCGCGAACCGGAUUAGAAACCCGUGUAGUCC
rnacentral:rRNA from 1 species